GGUAGGGUGGCCGAGACCAGGCGGCGAAUUGUAGCCUCGUUUACGGGGCCUCAGGCCCCCCCUCCCAAGC
rnacentral:tRNA from 1 species